ACAUGCUGUCUGAAACCCUCCUUCAGAGCUGACACUAAACACCAGCUCCUUCACCUCUGGGAACAGGAAGACAGUAAAAUUUGUUGCAAAAUGCCAGACGGUUCCUCUUUCCUGGGACCCUUUGCCUGAAGCUCCCUCUAAGCUGGAUUUCCCCUGCCAAGAACACAGAAGAUGGAGACACAGAAGAUCCAGGGCUGUCCUGUCUAGCAUCACAACAGGGACCUGGGUGCAGCUGGAUCAGAGGAUGACAGGAACUCAGCGUCACCCUGGGCGACCAGUGUGGGAUCUGUCAUCUGACUGCAAGGGAAGAGAAUUUUGUAAAAACCAGGAUAUCAGAUGUCCGGACCUUGGGUUAAAUACUCUACACUACAGCACACUUUCACAAGAAGUUCAUCAGGUUAAAGGACGGCACGCGGACAUAUCUGGAGGUUUCGUUCUAAUUUUUAACAUUUUGUAAUUUUCCUGAACAGUGGGUAUAACCGGACGCAGGCAUGUUUAUGCCAGG